CCUACGGGUGGCAGCAGUGGGGAAUAUUGCACAAUGGGGGAAACCCUGAUGCAGCGACGCCGCGUGAGCGAAGAAGUAUCUCGGUAUGUAAAGCUCUAUCAGCAGGGAAGAAAAUGACGGUACCUGACUAAGAAGCACCGGCUAAAUACGUGCCAGCAGCCGCGGUAAUACGUAUGGUGCAAGCGUUAUCCGGAUUUACUGGGUGUAAAGGGAGCGUAGACGGAUUAAUAAGUUGGUGGUCUAAGCCCGAAGCUUAACUUCGGUUCGCCACCAAAACUGUUAACCUUGAGUAUGGUAGAGGCAAGUGGAAUUUCUAGUGUAGCGGUUAAAUGCGUAGAUAUUAGAAGGAACAUCAGUGGCGAAGGCGACUUGCUGGGCCAACACUGACGCUGAGGCACGAAAGCGUGGGGAGCAAAUAGGAUUAGAUACCCUUGUAGUC
rnacentral:rRNA from 1 species